AACAAUUUCAUAAGUUUUCCUUUGAAACAUUAGGAAUAAUCUAUAUAAUAUAAUUUGUUUACCUUCAUUAGUUUCACAUACAUUUUUAGAUAAAACUAUAAAUCCUUUUGAUUUAUAUUUCUAUGAUUUCCAUAUAGAGAUUAUGAUUAUUAAAUAUUUUUUUCGGAUAUCCAUUCUAAAAAAAUAUAAUUUCAAAUAUUGGCAGAACUUUAUAACUUAUUUGAUAAAACACUGCAAUAUGUCUUCCUGGAAUGUUUGCUUUCUAGUUUUUAAAAGAAUGAUAAACGAAAUAUUGUCGAUGGGAGUGAGAGGAGGACUGCUGAAAUUUUGUAUCAAUUUUUUUUUUUAACUCCUACACAAAAAUGAAAAAAUCAGCUUAAUCCUUGAGUGCUGGCUAUUUUUUGAAUUUAAACCCAAUUUACAUGCAAAAAAUAUAUAUAAAAAUUAAAAUUGUGAAAUCUUGCUUAAUUUUCAGAU
rnacentral:lncRNA from 1 species